UACGAAGGGGGCUAGCGUUGUUCGGAAUACUGGCGUAAAGCGCGCGCAGGCGGCCAUUCAAGUCAGGGUGAAAGCCCAGAGCUCAACUCUGGAACUGCCCUUGAAACUGUAUGGCUUGAGUAUGAGAGAGGUGAGUGGAAUUCCCAGUGUAGAGGUGAAAUUCGUAGAUAUUGGGAAGGAAACACCGGUGGCGAAGGCGGCUCACUGGCUCAUUACUGACGCUCAGGCGCGACAGCCGUGGGGAUCAAACAGG
rnacentral:rRNA from 1 species